UACAGAGGUCCCGAGCGUUGUUCGGAUUCACUGGGCGUAAAGGGUGCGUAGGUGGUGAGGUAAGUCGGAUGUGAAAUCUCCGGGCUCAACCCGGAAAUGGCAUUGGAAACUACCUUGCUAGAGGAUUUGAGGGGGGAUUGGAAUACUUGGUGUAGCAGUGAAAUGCGUAGAUAUCAAGUGGAACACCAGUGGCGAAGGCGAAUCCCUGGAAAAUACCUGACACUGAGGCACGAAAGCUAGGGGAGCAAACAGGG
rnacentral:rRNA from 1 species